GUACGAAUCCGACUCGUAAUCGUAGAUCAGCUCCGUUACGGUGAAUACGUACUCGGUGCUGUAGCAGCACCGCCCGACACACCAUGGGAGCUGCAAGCCUGAGUUU
rnacentral:rRNA from 1 species